UACGAAGGUGGCAAGCGUUACUCGGAAUUACUAGGCGUAAAGGGCAGGUAGGUGGUUUGAUAAGUCUGUUGUGAAAGCUCCCGGCUCAACUGGGAGAGGCCAACAGAAACUAUCAGGCUUGAGUAUGGGAGAGGGUACUGGAAUUCCCGGUGUAGCGGUGAAAUGCGCAGAGAUCGGGAGGAACACCAAUGGCGAUAGCAGGUACCUGGACCAUUACUGACACUCAACUGCGAAAGCUAGGGGAGCAAACAGG
rnacentral:rRNA from 1 species